rnacentral:rRNA from 1 species
GAUGAACGCUAGCGGCAGGCUUAACACAUGCAAGUCGAGGGGCAACAGGUGUAGCAAUACAUGCUGGCGACCGGCGCACGGGUGAGUAACGCGUAUGCAACCUACCCAUAACAGGGGGAUAGCUCCCGGAAACGGAAAUUAAUACCCCAUAGGAUUCCUGGGCCGCAUGGCCUGGGGAUUAAAACUACGGUGGUUAUGGAUGGGCAUGCGUGCCAUUAGCUAGUUGGCGGGGUAACGGCCCACCAAGGCUACGAUGGCUAGGGGGUCUAAAAGGAUGAUCCCCCACACUGGUACUGAGACACGGACCAGACUCCUACGGGUGGCAG